rnacentral:rRNA from 1 species
UACGAAGGGGGCUAGCGUUGCUCGGAAUUACUGGGCGUAAAGCGCACGUAGGCGGGUCGUUAAGUCGGGGGUGAAAUCCUGGAGCUCAACUCCAGAACUGCCUUCGAAACUGACGAUCUUGAGUUCGGGAGAGGUGAGUGGAACUGCGAGUGUAGAGGUGAAAUUCGUAGAUAUUCGCAAGAACACCAGUGGCGAAGGCGGCUCACUGGCCCGAUACUGACGCUGACGGUGCGAAAGCGUGG